AGCAAUGAGAAGAGUUUCAGAGAGUAAAAAGGGAUGCCAUUUGGAGACGUGCAGACCUCUUCCAACACAAUGGAACAGAAAGGCUGUCCAGGCAGCACUAUCUCAGAGGAAGGUGGACAAAACCAGAAGGUGCGAAACUAAGCAAACGUCUCCUCUGGACAUGUGGCUUCUCCAUGGAAGAGAGUAUAGUAUGCCAGAGGUA